rnacentral:rRNA from 1 species
UACGUAGGGGGCUAGCGUUGUCCGGAAUUGUUGGGCGUAAAGCGCGCGUAGGCGGCCUCAUAAGUCCGUUGUGAAAGUCAAAGGCUCAACCUUUGAAAGCCGAUGGAUACUGUGAGGCUAGAGUCCGGAAGAGGCGAGUGGAAUUCCUGGUGUAGCGGUGGAAUGCGCAGAUAUCAGGAGGAACACCAAUAGCGAAGGCAGCUCGCUGGGACGGUACUGACGCUAAGGCGCGAAAGCGUGGGGAGCGAACAGG